CUUCUCCAUCAAUCGAUGUUUCCAAUGGGAUCAGUCACCUGAGAAACGGCUAUGUUGGAGAUGCAUUGAUUCAUAACCCAAAGGCUUUGAUCAUAAGAUCUGAGUUUUGGUUGUUACACUCUUCGUCUUUUUAUUCAGUGCACUGCAAACCAAUACGGUUCAACAUCUUGUGGAAGUCUGUAACCAGAACUCUCUUGACAUACUGACAAUAUUUAUCGAUGGGUUUGCGGUUUAACCAGAUGAAACAAGACUUGGUACUUGUUUAUAUGUGUCUCUGUGCCACAUAAUUUGUCUGUGAGUUUCCAACAAGCCUUUUCUUCUUUUUCUUUUAAUCUUCUUGUCUCGGAUUUUUCCUUUCACAGUAACUUCUGAUGAUAUACUUGUUAUUGUGAUAUGGAGAACCAAAGAUCGACCGAGAUCGACCGAGAUCGACCGAGAUCGACGGUGGAAAUGAUAAACCCAAGAAUAUGUAAAUUAUGAAGAUUGAAAAGAAUCCAGAAGAUAU